AAAAUUAACAUUUUGGAGCCUUAACAUGAAAUAACCUCCAAAUACUCCAAAUUAAAUGAGCAAUAUGCUACUAAUGACUAUUAGAGGCUACUAGAACUCUUAAAGCUAAGGAUUAAGCCAAAUCCCAAAAGCUUACCCAUUGUGAACGCCGCGACGAAAACACGCCGCUCCAACGGGCGCACGAAGCUCGAUCCGUCGCUCCCAACGCGUUCACAAGCAUUCUUCUCGCCAACGCUGCGAAUUUGAGCGAGAAAUAUAGAGAGAUGAGAGAGAUCUCUAGAGAGAGAAAGGCAGGGUUCUCUCCUCCCUUUCAUGCGUGCGUGGUGUGUGGCCAUGGAGGCGGUGGUCGGUUGAAGGAGAAGAAGCUGCAUGCUUCUAAUUAAAGUCAACACCAACACUAUUCACUCCAGGCAACUUUAAAAUCUGAUAUCUUUCGCCGGAGCUCCCUGAAUAUCCGUUUGAGCUCAAAUCUGACAGUCAUAUUCGGUUUUACUUAAAGAGUCCAAAGAAAUUUUAAUAUUUCAGUUUCGACCCGUUUGGUACCGAAAACUGUGCCGAACUGUAAUCUUUAUCAGAUGGCUUUCGGAUUUUAUUUCUCACUCUACGGGUAUCAGAAAAAUAUGAAACUUAAAAUCUAGCCUCAUUAAAUAUUUCUGACAUCCCCGCCAAUUUCAUAAUUUUCGAGACUGUGUAUUUUCUGCUAAUUUAUCUGCCCCGUUAUCAACAGAAAAAUCCAGAUUCUUCUGUUUUCAUCCCGAUUUCAGCACAAGUCACUUCUGAUUAUGUUUUACUUCUCUAGAUCAAUAAAAUGUAUUCUCAUACUAUUUUUUUUAUUUAUAUUUUAUCUUUUAUAUUUAAAUCCGGUAUAUUACAUUACACCGCAACCUUACCGGAACCAUUCAAAUGGCUCUCCAACCAAAUGGACACCGUAACCUCAUGAUUUUAGAAGUCGCGUACCUUACACUCUCCCCUCCUAUAAAGGAGUUUCGUCCCGAAACUCAAACCACGCCUCAAUUCGGCUCCUGAGCAAUUUAGGGCGCUAAUGCACUUUUCUAGUUCGGAAUGGCUUUACCUCUUUGCAACUAUCCAAGAGGCCAACACGGAGGGUACAAUACCCAACUCGUACAACUUUGCAAGGCGCAUCUCAGCAGGUGCAUUACGUUCUCGUUAUUCUGGCAGCAGCGCAAGUCGAGGUCAACGGCUCUACGCACUCCAAAGUCAUUCGCCAACUGGCCACUAAGGCCAAACCACCUCCCUCGAGAACGGGAUACCCGCUAUCCUCAUGGUGUGGAGCUAUCAAGAACGCACCAAUAGUCAUAUGGUCCACCAUCACGACACAGCACACACGGGUAAGCCCUCUCGAAUCACCCGAAUGUCAACAAAGCGGCGCUCCGCCACUUUGGCUAUCCAAGAGUUCGUAUUUUCUCAUUCACGGACUCUUCAUCACUUUCACCAUCCUCUAGGGGUCACAUCCAAUUGAUCACAUAUCGCCUAGAAGCAAUAUCAUUGGUGCAUCGACCCACUGGCGAGUGCUCCAAUCUUCAACCAGACCCUUGCUCUACCGCGGGAUGGCACGCUUCGGCAAUCUCCAACUCAGCCCUUAAAAGAGCAUUAUCUCAAGCUCCAAUUCACUUAGGGGCAUCAACUUCAAUCCUCUACCUCUCGUGGCUUCCAAUAGCUCAAUGUCUCACGCGAGCAGUAUAUCCUCGAAUACCAUAUGCCACGACCAUCACCAACUCGUUCGUGCAAACGAAUCCACAUGAACAUCGUUCGUCAUUCUAGGCCACGCCCAUCACUGAGGCUACUCGCUCAACCACUUCAUCAAAUCAUAGGUGAACACAGGUCACCAAUCCUAGACUGUCGCUUAAACCAGUCUCAACUACGCGUAGUGUCUCUCGCUCACCAGUGUAGACCAAUUAUCACUACUGGGCGAAAUUCUUAUUGGAGAAUUCGCACACACUUCAACCAGGAGCAACUAGACCUCAAAACACGUCGAAUCCUUGGGUUGGGUCACUACCACAGAGGUGUAACCUUGAUCUCAUGAUCCACGUGUGUCAUUCCACGCUCCGAGUCUCAGCUUGGACUACCGCCUGACCAAAAUUCUGCCCUACAUUGGGCCGCUGUCUCUCACAGCUGACUGUGCCUGCCCAAUGGGCCAGGCUCCACAGUCCACAAAUGGUCCAGGCACACGAUCGUCCCCAAGCACUACUCGCCGUCGUCGUCUUAUACGACAUACUCUAUUGAGUUACACGUACCAUUACCGACUCCUAAGUGCCUAAGCACCUAGUAUGAGCCACCAGCCCUCACGAGUGAUCGUGGCCGCUUCACACUUAGCCCUGUCGAAGUGCUACUGCAAUUCACUCGACCGGCUGAAUCGAAACCGCACUUCACGUAAUUACACUCGAGCGCUCUACACGCUCUACUGCGUUCCAACUAGGUCAGCAUUAGGCAACCUUGCUAUGCAUACCACUACACGAGCAUGGACUCGCUGACCUCAACUUGAGGUACUACUCGGCUAACGUUCUCGUAUUCGGCAACUAUACGGCUACUCUCUUCAACAGUGAUUCCACUACUAGCAAUUUGCUAGUACGUCUAGCCCUCCAUCUACUCCAGCAAGCGUUACACCCUCACGCGCAAGCAUGCUCGGGUAUUUAACAUUGUCCGUCACUUUGGUCCUUACUACAUCGAUGCAUCGACGAUAGCAAGCGACCACACGACGAAUGCAUGCAAGGUCCUUCGACAAGGUCGCGUACUCACGACAUCUCGCUUGCCCGCCGCGAGCCUCCGUCGUCACUUCCUCACACUCGUUCUCUAGACCACUCUGUAGACUUCACAUCACAAACUGUCUCGGAGAGGAAGAGCUACCUCCUACAACGCGACCCUGCAAUCGACCGCACGAAUGCCUAUCUCACCACGCAACGCACACUACCGUGCUCGGUGAGAACUCCCACAAUCCCGCAUCUCAACACCGUAGCGUCUUCGGGGACAUCAGUUCCUGAAACGCAAACAUUUGUGUUAAUCAUCUUAACCCGUUAACUCGCGCGAUUACGAGAUAAACGACUCAACAUCGCAAAUUAGGCGGAGCACAAAGUUACUCGUUCUAACUCUUAGUGUCAUGUUGCCGGCCGCAACACAACCACUUCAAGUCAAGAAUUAAUACCACUGGAAUCCGUCUCUAGUAACUACUAGAAACAUACUAUCAACAACUUCAACCCAAUCGAACAACUCCCGCCACAACGCAUAGGUCACGUCACUCACGCACCUAUAGCCUUAAGGUUUCCGUCCUAGGGUCUCCUAGGUCAAUCUAGACUCUCUCUUUGCUUGCUUUAACUCGCUCUGAUACCAUUUUAUCUGUCACGCCCGGGACCGCUACCAAUUUGGUACGAUCCGGGCGCGUCGAACAGACGCCGAACGGACAGCACUCCCCUGUCCGCCCAAGGCUAAACAACAGGAUCAUGUACAACAAGUUCCCAGGAAAUCAACUUGAAUACAUACAUGAUCAAAACAAUAGCGGCACAACCAGUGCGAACAUUACAAGAGCAAGCAUCACAAGCGUAAACAAGUGAAUAAAAGAGAGAAUAUAACUAUCUAUUACAUCACAUUUGACAUUCAACAUUUAAUACAAUUGGUUACAUUUAAGCUUCCAAAAUGAAUACAUAUCAUAUCACAUAUAUAUAAUGCUAGCUAUCCAAAAUACAUCAUUGUAUCUAUAACCAUGCACAGAGGGUGCUCUAGUACAAUAGGAAAGCUCUACUAGCUAGCUAGGGCGCUACGCCCUUACCGCGAUCUACUGCCGGUCCGCUCAGUGUGUACCUGUACCCCAAAACCACACGGGGUGAGAACUAUAAAAAUAUAGUUCCCAGUGGGUUCGGCCGCCGACUCCGCCGAUCUUCCCACUAGGUCUAAGCUGGCACAGAUAGAUAGAUAGAGAGAUAGAAAGAUAUUGAACUGCAACUAUGAUCUAUUGUGCCAUCAAAUGCAAGCAAUGCAUGAAAUAUCAACUAGCAAUAAGCUACUAUCAAUGAUAAUAUGCUUCAACGAUGUAAUGAAUACAAAUACGACAUAGUUAUGCAUUCCACUAACAUAUACUAUGUCUAAUCAGGGUAUGAAUGCAAAUCCACUUAUACUAUUCAUGUCAUUACCCAAAUCCACUAGGUACACCCGCCCUUGUCUCAAAUCACGUAGGUGAAGGACUACUCCGCCUUGUUUCACCGCCCACAACUCUAACACUAUAGGUAAAGAGCUACCCGCUCCUCGCCCAACUCAUAAACUCAAAUGCCUAAGGGCAUGAGCUACCCCGACUCUUCGCUCCGACUCUAACUCAAAUCACAUAGGUCAAGAGCUACCCCGCUCAUAGGUCAAGACGCUACCCCGCGUCGUAGGUAAAGAGCUACCCCCCGCUCAUAGAGUAAAGAGCUACCCGCUCAUAGGUAAAGAGCUACCCCGCUCAAGGUCAAUAGUCCCGCUCAUAGGUAAAGAGCUACCCCGCUCAGUAGGUAGGGUAAAGAGCUAACCCGCUCAUAGGUAAGAGUACGCCCGCUCAUCAAGCGUCAAGAGCUACCCCGCUCGUAGGUAAAGAGCUACCCCGCUCAUAGGUAAAGAGCUACCUCGCUCAAAGGUAAAGAGCUACCCCGCUCAAAUCUCACAGGAGAAGAGCUACCCCGCCCUUCGCCCGACUCACUUCCCAGUCCAAUGGGUGGGGAGCUACCCCGCUCGUAUCCCACCCAAUGAGCUACCCCGCUCGUGUGACAACUGAGGAUACCCUGUCAACUAGGUUAACCAUCACUUGAUAUUCUACCUAUCCCUAGGUCCAUGUCAAGUGUUUCAACCAUAUCAAAUCUCAAUGCCACUCACCUAGGUCUAAGCAACUCUAGGUUCCACAACACUAGGUUUAAUGUCAACCUAUGUUUAACAACAUUAUAUUAAUGCCACUCGAUCUAUCCUAGGUUCACGACACUAGGUUUAGAUGCCACAUAAUCUCCAUAAUUAACAAUAGGUUAACAUUCAUUUCAUCUAGCAUAUAUGUUCUAUAAGGCCAACAUGCAUCAUAAUGCUAAUAUGCCAUAAUCAACUAGCAUGCAAUCCAUUCAUAAUGCUACGUGCAUACAAUCUCCAUUACACUAGUUCACAUGUCACUAGUUUCAUUGUCAAGUCCAAGUUCUUUAUUCUCUUAUCAUCAUAGGAUCUCAUGUCUCAACCUUAAUCAUCAUGCAUUCUAGAUUUAAGUGUCAAGUCUAUAAUACUACACAACUAGACAUGCAUUCAAGGAAAGUAGAAAUGUAACUAUACAUAUAUCCUAUAAUGCAUAAGAACCAUAUAUAUGAAAUAUGAUCAACUAUUUUACUCGGAGAUAGAAGGAAGCCCGAUUGCUUCGGAUAGACACCCCCCACCUUUUUACAGCGUUCCGAUUGCUCGUCGUCACUCGCAAUCGGCCUCCCGCGGCACACGCCGCUCGGCUUGACCCAAUCUGCGCGCGACCACCGAACGACCUCCGAUCCGCGAUCCGAAAAUUAAAGGUCUUCGGUUUCUUGUCACGAUGCUUCAAAUCCGUUUCCACGAUUUUACGACGUCGCCUCGGCCCUCCAGGCGGAAACGAAGUCUAAACGUCCGUUUCUUUAAUAACUUCGCACUGGCUCGACGAAUCGCCGAACCGUCGCUUCCAACGCGUUUAGUGACCUAUCGAUUAGGUUUACGGAGGGUCAAAUUAGAUCAAACCCUCAUAUUUUGAAAAUUAACAUUUUGGAGCCUUAACAUGAAAUAACCUCCAAAUACUCCAAAUUAAAUGGAGCAAUAUGCUACUAAUGACUAUUAGAGGCUACUAGAACUCUUAAAGCUAAGGAUUAAGCCAAAUCCCAAAAGCUUACCCCAUUGUGAACGCCGCGACGAAAACACGCCGCUCCAACGGGCGCACGAAAGCUCGAUCCGUCGCUCCCAACGCGUUCACAAGCAUCUUCUCCGCCAACGCUGCGAAUUUGAGCGAGAAAUAUAGAGAGAUGAGAGAGAUCUCUAGAGAGAGAAAGGAGGGUUUCUCUCCCCCUUUCAUGCGUGCGUGUGUGUGGCCAUGGAGGCGGUGGUCGGUUGAAGGAGAAGAAGCUGAUGCUUCUAAUUAAAGUCAACACCAACACUAUUCACUCCAGGCAACUUAAAAUCUGAUAUCUUUCGCCGGAGCUCCCUGAAUAUCCGUUUGAGCUCAAAUCUGACAGUCAUAUUCGGUUUUACUUAAAGAGUCCAAAGAAAUUUUAAUAUUUCAGUUUCGACCCCGUUUGGUCACCGAAAACUGUGCCGAACUGUAAUCUUUAUCAGAUGGCUUUCGGAUUUUAUUUCUCACUCUACGGGUAUCAGAAAAAUAUGAAACUUAAAAUCUAGCCUCAUUAAAAUAUUUCUGACAUCCCCGCCAAUUUUCAUAAUUUUCUGAGACUGUGUAUUUUCUGCUAAUUUAUCUGCCCCGUUAUCAACAGAAAAAUCCAGAUCUUCUGUUUUCAUCCCGAUUUCAGCACAAGUCACUUCUGACUUAUGUUUUACUUCUCUAGAUCCAAUAAAAUAGUAUCUCAUNUGCUAAUUUAUCUGCCCCGUUAUCAACAGAAAAAUCCAGAUCUUCUGUUUUCAUCCCGAUUUCAGCACAAGUCACUUCUGACUUAUGUUUUACUUCUCUAGAUCCAAUAAAAUAGUAUCUCAUACUAUUUUUUUUAUUUAUAUUUUAUCUUUAUAUUUAAAUCCGGUAUAUUACAUUACACCGCAACCUUACCGGAACCAUUCAAAUGGCUCUCCAACCAAAUGGACACCGUAACCUCAUGAUUUUAGAAGUCCGGUACCUUACAACUGAAGUCCCUUCAGAACCAAUACUAAACCCUAGUAUAGAUAACACAGAAGAGAGACGAGAUGACCCCAUGAUACUAGAAGCAUCUU
rnacentral:lncRNA from 1 species